GGAAAACCCCAGGUUCCGAGCAUUCUGGAUAACAGGUCCCAUACCUGUACUGUAGUUUUUAGCUUUUGUUGCCUUUAUAGUGACGUAAAUUAAACUGGAUUCUCUGACUGGCUGGAAAUUUAAAGGUGUAGUUUGCCUUAACAUAAAAUAUUACUAUGAUAUAGACAGUGGCAUUCUUCUGGCAUAUUUUUUCAUUUUAUUUUACUAUUUAUUUUUGUUCUGCCGCUGUCAGGCUUGGAAUUUUAACAGCUUAAUUGCCUAAUUACUCCAACGACCAAACAGCAGUUGGGAGGUCGGAAUAGAAAAUGAAUGAUAAAGGGCCUGAAUAGAAAGAUAAGAAAUAGCAAAUGAGAAUAAUGAUAAAAUCACAGUAAAUCAUUAGAUUAUUUCUGAUAUUCCCAGGGUCAGUGACCCUGAUAACCAAAUAGCAUUUCCAGUCGAAAACCAGAAUGAGGCAAAAAAAAGGUACCGGUAAUAAAAGAAAUGGAGACCAUUGAAAAAAGUUGCUAAAAAUAGGUGCAUACAUAGCUUACUUUAUAUUUAUUUAAAAGUGAACUUCCCCUUAACUUCCCCUACAAUUGCUCUGGGUCAGAAGCUCAGUGUCAGACUAAGAUGCCAGGAGCCCACCAGAAAAUCUUACACAGUGGGCUCAAGUUCUACUCCUCCUCUCCUCACUCAACCUCUUUAUUCUCCUAGUAUUUUAUGUCUACUAUAUUCCAUUAUUAAGCAUUGUUUCCCCAUAAAUAAAUAGGGAAUGCCCAUGAAACAGGCUAAAUGAUUAGAAGAAAGUGGCCCACUCUAGCAGAAGCUAGAGUCAUCUUCAACGUUUUGUAAGAAUUCAUAAUUUCUCCAGUACUUUUAGACCUUUACAUUGGAGGCUGGGAUUGUAUUCUUUAUAUAUCUAUUUGUCUUGGGGUGACUUUAAUGAGAGCAUUAUACCCUUUUUUGGCAGAAAAUAUAAUUUUACUACUUACUAUAUUCUUUGCCCUUGUUGCACAGAAAAUUUAUUAAAAUGGUAUAAAAUACCUACUUGCAGAAUGAGCCCCAGGACACCAUUGAGUUACAUCUAUAUAGAGACCCUUAAAUUAAUAUCUAGAGUAGAAACUGGACUCUUCAUUCCAGAGCUAAAUAGAGGUUUAGCCAUAGGCACCUACUCAGGCUUAAAUGUCCAUCGCCGAAGGUUCUAUAGGGGUUGCAGAGGUGAAAGGAAGGGAUGGUUUGCAAGACCCCCUUCCAGGACAUUACAUGAUUUCCAUAUUUCUCAGAUUAAAUGAGAGGAAUUGGUGAUUUCCCUAUGGAUUUGUCUAAUCAUGAUUUGAGGGUAUAGUGGCCCUUUAGCAUGCCCUUGGUGAACCUUUAUCAGAUAUCAGUGGAGCCUGCUGCAAAACAAUCACUAUGUAACAGAAACAUUCACAGCAGAUAAAUAUUAAAGUUACCUCUUCAUAGACAGCUACGUAGACAACUAUCAGAGAUCCCACUUUAAUUCAGAUUCUCUCUACUUGUUUUAUUUUUUAGCGAACCCCAAAUUAUUUGGAAAGAAGAACAGAAUGGAAGAACUACGAGAGGAGCACUCCAAUCCCACCUUUCAUCUAGAAGAGUCAGUUGACCAGACUGAAGACCUGACGGAGCUGAAUCCUGUCCGAGGGAAACAUUUUAGGAAGGCUUCCCAGUCCCUACCCAGGAAAUCAAAAAAACGAGCAUGCUUUUGGAAAUACUGCAUUCAAAACAAGUAAUUCAAGCCUUCUCUCUUUCAAACGACCCAAUGCGGCGAUAACAGGAAUGGAACACGACAAUGGAAUUCUUUGGUCCUUCAAGAUUCCGCACUGGAGUGAAACGCGCGGCGAAUGACGGUUUUCGUUUUUUCCUUUUUACGAAACAAAAAAAUCCCAAUAUUGUUGAGUAAUUUUAUGAAAACAAAAACUUUUUCCAGGUAAUUUUAUUCUGAAACGUUUCCGGAACGACGUUGUGUUGAAUGACUUAAGACAAAAGGCUCAUAUGGAGCUCAGCUUUAGGCGUAAUUCUUAGGAUUUAUAGGGAUUUUAUUAUUGUUACUAUGAAAACUGUUAAUCCCCUGGUUUAUUGCAUUUACUGUAGCACGACCCAUAGUGAUAAUGAGUAUUAUUAUUACUAUCAGUAAUAGUCUGACAUACAGGGACUACAAACACUGACCACACCAGUGUGCAACGCAACUGAAAAUCUUUAUGAAUGUUACUACAGGUAUCCAUUAUCCGUAAACCUUUUAUCCAGAAAGCUCCGAAUUACGGAAAGUACGACUCCCAUA